AAUCAAGAUCAACAGAUCUUUAUCGUCUUCAAGGGAUGGUACUGAUAAGAUGACUCGAGCAGAAUGGAAGCGGUAACUCUGCAAGAAUCUCAGAUGUAGCAGGAAAGUAGUACCCGAGGAUCGAUCACUGACUGAACAAAACUUCAUUAUGUCCAUAAUCCUACUUUUAAUGUUAGAAAGGAACUAAAUUAUAAGAUAUAGAUGGUGUGCCUUUUGUUGUCUUUAAAUUUUUCUUGGGAAAUAUUGCAAGAGUUUGUACUUGCUAGACUUAAGUUAUAGGUUUGUCUUGUUAAGGCUUUA